AUAUAGGUAUAAAGGAUUUGGGGAAAAAAGGGUGAUUAUGGGAUUAUAUGGAACCAUGUGAAUGAAACUUUUGAAAACUGUAAAGCACUAUAGAAUUUAAAGUGUCUUUCAUUCAAUU